UUCCUGACCCAGGGAUCAAACCCGGGUCUCCCGCAUUGCAGGCAGACGCUUUACCGUCUGAGCCACUAGGGA
rnacentral:tRNA from 1 species